rnacentral:miRNA from 10 species
AAGGGUUUCUGAUCCGUACCGC